rnacentral:lncRNA from 1 species
GUCCUCAUUUGCAUUUUCAGUUUCUCCCACCGGAGACAAUCCGGUAUUUACACAUGUGUGUCCUAUUUAUUUCACGUAAGAGCAUGGCCUCCUUAUGUAUCCAUUUAGCUAUAAAUGUCUCUAGUUUAUCAUUCUUUAUGGCUGAAUAGUACUUUUUAAACUGCUAGAUAAAAAUAUAGAAAUUAUGCAUGUUAAUGGGAUAAACGACGUUAUCGUCGUGUGUACAUGUACUUGGUGUUUAUUGGUCUUUGUGCCCUCCCCCCAUUGUCAUCCUCGCCCACGCCCUCCUCCCCACUUGUGCUUGUGAGGCGGGUGUGGUACCACUGAGCUAAAUCCCUGGCCCCUAUUGGUCUUGUUUUUUAUGACCUUGACACCUCGAAGAGCACCAGCCAGUUUCUAGCAGUGUCUCUGAAAGACAGCGGACAUGUUCAGCCUGUUCAGUUCCUUGGCUCAGGAGUUGCUGGAACAAAAGAAGUAGAUUUAGGGCCAAGGAUUUAGCUCAGUGGUUCCACCACCUGCCCCACAAGCACAAGGUCCUGAGUUCAAUCCCCGGUACCAAACAAAAAAAGAAGAAGAUUUUCCUUGGACAGCUAAACUGUAAAAGCCAAAGCAGAAAUACAGAACAUUUCCCAAGGAGAGAAGAUUGCUCACAGGCCAAGUUGUAAAGAAAGGUGAGUGAAGGUAAAGCAACAGAACCCUGGAGAGGGUCCUGAUGAAUGUGGGUUUCCAUAUCCCCAACAGGAGACAGCAUAAUGGGCCAAACCCCACCCCAACAGAGGGACAGC